ensembl:lncRNA
UAGUCAGAUGGAGGUGGUAGGGUAGAGAAGGUAGGAUACCUCUAGUCAGAUGGAGGUGGUAGGAUAGAGAAGGUAGGAUACCUCUAGUCAGAUGGAGGUGGUAGGGUAGAGAAGGUAGGAUACCUCUAGUCAGAUGGAGGUGGUAGGGUAGAGAAGGUAGGGUACCUCUAGUCAGAUGAGGGUGGUAGGGUAGAGAGGGUAGGAUACCUCUAGUCAGAUGAGGGUGGUAGGGUAGAGAAGGUAGGAUACCUCUAGUCAGAUGAGGGUGGUAGGGUAGAGAGGGUAGGAUACCUCUAGUCAGAUGAGGGUGGUAGGGUAGAGAAGGUAGGAUACCUCAAGACAUAUGGUGGUGGUGGCCUGGAGCGGAUUGGACAUC